rnacentral:rRNA from 1 species
UACGUAGGGGGCUAGCGUUGUCCGGAUUUAUUGGGCGUAAAGAGCGUGUAGGCGGCCAGGUAGGUCUGGUGUGAAAACUCGAGGCUUAACCUCGAGAUGUCAUCGGAAACCAUCUGGCUAGAGUCCGGAAGAGGAGAGUGGAAUUCCUGGUGUAGCGGUGAAAUGCGCAGAUAUCAGGAAGAACACCAAUGGCGAAGGCAGCCCUCUGGGACGGUACUGACGCUGAGACGCGAAAGCGUGGGGAGCGAACAGG